UACGUAGGGUGCAAGCGUUACUCGGAAUUACUGGGCGUAAAGCGUGCGCAGGCGGUUCUGUAAGACAGGUGUGAAAUCCCCGGGCUUAACCUGGGAACUGCAUUUGUGACUGCAUAGCUAGAGUACGGUAGAGGGGGAUGGAAUUCCGCGUGUAGCAGUGAAAUGCGUAGAUAUGCGGAGGAACACCGAUGGCGAAGGCAAUCCCCUGGACCUGUACUGACGCUCAUGCACGAAAGCGUGGGGAGCAAACAGG
rnacentral:rRNA from 1 species